UAUUUACACAUGUUAUAUUUUGUAUUGUAUUUUGUUUAGCCCCCGUAUGAAAAUGUGAUGCAAGGGAUUUUACCAUCGACAGCCAUCAACAUCAUCAAGCCCUGCACAACUAACGUGCUGUUUCCUAUUUAACAACAGCAGAUAAUAAGUAAUGCUCAACUGGGACCACAGGGUGGGGUGAUUUAUUUGGAUAAAACACAACGCAAGCUGCUGUGGUGUGGGCCUAUGGGUGUCUGUCUAUCAACUUCCAGCAACACCUGAUAUGCAAGACAAGCUUCUAAAAAUCACAUCAGGUGGUACGACAGACAUAUAUUUAUGUUAACGUUGUGCCACUUGAUUAUGUUAUUUUUUAUUGAUUAGUCUCAAUUAUAACCCAUAUGUUGCCUUCUUUUUUAGCACUAUUAAAGAUCUAUUCCAUUGGAAUUCCUAAAAUCACUGUGAGUGUAUCCAUUGUUUUCAGUGCCAUGAUGUCCUUGAGGAGCAGAUUCAAUUGCAUGAGCAACACGGC
ensembl:lncRNA